rnacentral:sRNA from 1 species
UAGACAAUCGUUCUUCAACAGAUACAGGU